UACAGAGGGGGCAAGCGUUGCUCGGAAUUACUGGGCGUAAAGGGCGCGUAGGCGGCCGCCUAAGUCAGACGUGAAAUCCCUCGGCUCAACCGGGGAACUGCGUCUGAUACUGGGUGGCUUGAAUUCGGGAGAGGGAUGCGGAAUUCCAGGUGUAGCGGUGAAAUGCGUAGAUAUCUGGAGGAACACCGGUGGCGAAGGCGGCAUCCUGGACCGACAUUGACGCUGAGGCGCGAAAGCCAGGGGAGCAAACGGG
rnacentral:rRNA from 1 species